rnacentral:rRNA from 1 species
CCCGGGUCUUGUACACACCGCCCGUCACACCAUGGGAGCGGGUUCUGCCAGAAGUAGUUAGCCUAACCGCAAGGAGGGCGAUUACCACGGCAGGGUUCGUGACUGGGGUG